rnacentral:misc_RNA from 1 species
GGAAAAGUUAAAAUUAAAACACUAAAAUGACAAUGAGUCUGCUGAUAUAUCGAUCAUCUCUAAGAAUUUGUUGUCUGAACUUGUAGUGAUUAGAAGCAUGCAUCCAACACACAGCAGCAACACAACGCAGCACAACAGCCUUUCCAAAAGCCAUCGCCUCUAGACUUGGUUUCAGCCGGAACAGGGGCGGGUUGUUGAGAGAAAUCUCCGCCGUCUCUCAUCGGAUACCCCGCCGGGGGUGGGGCUGCAUAAGAGGUUGGCACGGUGGAG